CCCCCAAAAAACCUGCCCCUAAUGCCGCAGAUCUCCGAAGCCAGCCCUUCCUGCGAGCUGACGCGGUGAUCCGGAAUGGGUGGAAGCGACCCUAAAGACCCCUCACUCACUCACCCAAUGCUACUUUCCCCCCGCUUUCUUCUGAAAUGGGAUCUUCCUGCAAUUCACAGUGACUGAGGGAAGUGCAGGACCAAACCAGUAUCUUUGGUUUUAAGGGGAUGUGGAAGUUGUUAUUUAUUUAUGGAAAUCCUUUUUGGAUUCUGCACUGGAGGCUCUUUCAAUAAAGCCAUAAAAGCACAGACAUUAAGGGCGGCCUCACGAACUCUCGCGUACGCAAAUCCUGAGGAGAGUCUGUAACAGCUUGUGUUGGCACAGGAAAAAUGCUUGUUGUGAUUGACAAACCGACAGCAGUAACACUAGCCUGCUGACCCUGAAGAGCCUUCUAUUGGGAUUGCACACCCAUUAACGUGGAUUUCCUUUUAUUGUGCAAUGUAAGCAUGACUUGAGGUCACUGACUUUCAGGCCUGAGCCCGUUUGUACAGUUCUUUUAUUAGCUAUGAACUCAAAAAGAUGUAUUAAUCCUAACUACCUGGAGUGGACUAGUCUGUCUCCAGUAUUGUUACCCUAUCGUUACAAAGAAGUGCCUUUCUGCUGAGUCAGUAUUAUUUCUUAUAGCCAAUAUUGAUGUAUCUAAGUUUAUACUUGUGUUAAUUAUUAUGUUGUAACAUUUUGAAUGCUUAAUGUAAAUAUUAUAUGCAGUUAUCCAUUGUAGCUUUAACAAAAGAGCCUGAAGUGCUCUAUUUGAUUCAUGUGCCUUGUAGGCUUGUUGAUGGUGCCUUCUUCACCCAGCUUUUUAAAUGUUUAAUGCGCAUGUACCAGAACAAAGUGUACAUAACGUUAUGCCAUGCCUUGAAACGUAUUCUUUCUCAGAGAAUGAUGUUCGGAUCCAUUCUUUACCACACAGAAUUCUUAUGUAUAUAAAUGCAU